AUUGAACGCUGGCGGCAGGCCUAACACAUGCAAGUCGAGCGGGGUUUUCGGACCUAGCGGCGGACGGGUGAGUAAUGCGUAGGAAGCUGCCCGAUAGAGGGGGAUACCAGUUGGAAACGACUGUUAAUACCGCAUAAUGUCUACGGACCAAAGUGUGGGGCCUUCGGGCCACAUGCUAUCGGAUGCGCCUACGUGGGAUUAGCUAGUUGGUGAGGUAAUGGCUCACCAAGGCGACGAUCUCUAGCUGGUUUGAGAGGAUGAUCAGCCACACUGGAACUGAGACACGGUCCAGACUCCUACGGGAGGCAGCAGUGGGGAAUAUUGGACAAUGGGCGCAAGCCUGAUCCAGCCAUGCCGCGUGUGUGAAGAAGGCCUUCGGGUUGUAAAGCACUUUCAGCGAGGAGGAAGGGGUGUGUGUUAAUAGUACACACCUUUGACGUUACACGCAGAAGAAGCACCGGCUAACUCUGUGCCAGCCGCCGCCGUAACAC
rnacentral:rRNA from 1 species